rnacentral:tRNA from 1 species
GGAGUGUGAGGGAUGCGGCAAACCCAUCAGACUGUAAAUCUGACGCCUCUGGCAAUGCGCGGUUCGAUUCCGUGGCACUCCACCA